AGUAAAAUUGAGUUACUUUAACAUAAGUCGAUUUCGCAACAAAAAUAUCGAAAAUGAAGAUAAGUAUAAUUAUUUUUUUGGUUUUUGCAAUUUUUGCAGCAAUUAUUGGUGCAACUUCAAACCAUGGCAAAGAAGAAAAGAGACUAUUCGGAGGUUUAAACAAGAAAAUCUGUGACAAAGUAUGUUCUGUGAUAACAUCUGUAUUUCCCAUGGGAAGAAGAAAGUGAUCCAGCCCAGAAACGUAGAAUACACACCAUUAAUUAAAAUUAUGGUUGUAUUCAGUUUAGUGAAAAGUGUAGCGCAUCUAGUUUUAUUUUGUUAAUCAAUAUUGCGGCUUAUAUUUGUAUUCUUUGUUUUAAUUGUUUUGAAAGCAAUAUCUGUACUUUACUUUUUUAAUAAAUGAGGACCACAAAUCAGAAUUAUAAAA